rnacentral:rRNA from 1 species
CCUACGGGAGGCAGCAGUGGGGAAUUUUGGACAAUGGACGCAAGUCUGAUCCAGCCAUUCCGCGUGCAGGACGAAGGCCUUCGGGUUGUAAACUGCUUUUGUACGGAACGAAAAGCUCUUAUUAAUACUAGGAGUCCAUGACGGUACCGUAAGAAUAAGCACCGGCUAACUACGUGCCAGCAGCCGCGGUAAUACGUAGGGUGCAAGCGUUAAUCGGGAAUUACUGGGCGUAAAGCGUGCGUCAGGCGGUUACAUAAGGACAGAUGUGAAAUCCCCGAGCUUAACUUGGGAACUGCAUUUGUGACUGUAUAGCUAGAGUACGGCAGAGGGGGAUGGAAUUCCGCGUGUAGCAGUGAAAUGCGUAGAUAUGCGGAGGAACACCGAUGGCGAAGGCAAUCCCCUGGGCCUGUACUGACGCUCAUGCACGAAAGCGUGGGGAAGCAAACAGGAUUAGAUACCCUGGUAGUCCAGGCCCUAAACGGAUGUCAACUGGUUGUGGGUCUUCACUGACUCAGUAACGAAGCUAAGCGUAGAAGUUGACCGCCUGGGGAGUAACGGCCGCAAGGUUGAAACUUAAAGGAAUUGACCGGGNNGAGAGNGCGAGACGACGACGAGGGAGAGG